rnacentral:rRNA from 1 species
AGAUUGAACGCUGGCGGCAGGCCUAACACAUGCAAGUCGAGCGGUAGAGAGGUGCUUGCAUCUCUUGAGAGCGGCGGACGGGUGAGUAAUGCCUAGGAAUCUGCCUAGUGGUGGGGGAUAACGUUCGGAAACGGACGCUAAUACCGCAUACGUCCUACGGGAGAAAGCGGGGGACCUUCGGGCCUCGCGCCAUUAGAUGAGCCUAGGUCGGAUUAGCUAGUUGGUGAGGUAAUGGCUCACCAAGGCGACGAUCCGUAACUGGCCUGAGAGGAUGAUCAGUCACACUGGAACUGAGACACGGUCCAGACUCCUACGGGAGGCAGCAGUGGGAAUAUUGGACAAGUGGCGAAAGCCUGAUCCAGCCAUGCCGCGUGUGUAGGAAGAAGGUCUUACGGAUUUGUAAAAGCUAACGUUUUAAGGUUGGGAAGGUAAAGGGCGAAAGGUUAAAAUUUAAUAACGUUUUAGACUUGUUUUAGACGUUUAACCGACUAAGAAUAAGCAACCGGCUAACUCUAGUACCAGCAG